rnacentral:lncRNA from 1 species
AUUCAAUAAGAAAUUAAUUUUUUAUCGUUGGAUUUGAAUAAAUUUUCUUCUCCCAAGCAAUCUGAUUGGCAGUACACCAUUGCAGCAUAUACUUUAUUAUUAUCAUCAUUAUUAUUUUCCACAACAUUUAAUACCAAGUUUCCUUCUCUCACAUAGAAUAUUACCCAAUAGAAGUCUCCAAAAGGGGCCAUAGCACAUUCAUAACAAAGAUAGAAAAGAAAACUUUCAAUGUCUGCUUUCCAAUAUGAUGAUUCAACUAAAACAAAGCUGAAUUUCUCAGCUAUGAAACUGAAAAAAUGAAAAUCAGCCCAUGUGUACAUCACGGCCAGCCAUGAUCAUUAACACCUCCAUGAAAUGAGGGAGAAAAGAGAGAAACAACUGCUUCUUCUUACCAAACUUCUAUAUAACUUCAAAUUACUUUAAAAAAAUUUCCUAAAAGGCAUUCUGCUGCCUUUCUGAGGCAUGAACAUUUGGGUGUCUUCUCAAGACCAACCCCGGGCAAGCAGGUGGCGCCUGUGAAAUGGAAAACAUUCGGAAAACAGCAGCCCCUCUUCAGCUCCAUGUACAGGAGACUUUCUGAUUUCCAAUCUUGGCUCAGGUCAGAAGAAAAAGGGGAAAGGUUACAUUCCUGGAAAGAAAAUACAGCCUAUUUGAGGGCAUGCCUGACUUUCAGUCCAUGCACUAGUCCUCUUGGCUCGUAGAGUUUUCAGUGCCCUGAAACCAUGAUCCCUCUGCCUCCAUGGUCCUCUGAGUGUAGUUAUUAUGUCUGCAAACCAGUAAUGUCACAAGUCAAAGGGUCUGGGGCUUCCCAGGGAACCACUAUGACUGAGUAUAUUCUGAUUUGAGAAACCUGUGACAAGUCUUCUCAGCACUCGCCUUCUAAUUUUUGGAGCCGAUGCCUGGGUUCCCAGCAUCCAGGUCACAGUAGCUGGAAAUCAUGCAGGAAGGGCAAAAAGCCAGCAGCCCAGAAUGGACUGUCUCUGCAGCUCUGGCACAUUCUCUACACAUCGCCACACCACUCAAAUGUCCUAUAAAAUAUCAAAACCAAUAACCUGGACAUGGCCGAUUAAUCUGUACAAAAAGGCUUUAUAAAAAUACUCCCGGCCGGGCGCGGUGGCUCACGCCUGUAAUCCCAGCACUUUGGGAGGCCGAGGCGGGCGGAUCACGAGGUCAGGAGAUCGAGACCAUCCCGGCUAAAACGGUGAAACCCCGUCUCUACUAAAAAUACAAAAAAUUAG